UAUUAAAAAUUUCAUCUAUUCGUACUGUUAAAAACCGACAUGGUCAAAUAGCAUGUACCUCAUGCUGAUAUAUAAUGAUCAAUUUUUAACAAUAAAAAUUAAUGAAAUUUUUAACA
rnacentral:pre_miRNA from 1 species